rnacentral:tRNA from 1 species
GAGAAAGACACAGCAAUUAUGAAGUUGGUUUGAAACCAGUUGGAGAAGGCUCGAUUCCUUCCUUUCUUA